rnacentral:misc_RNA from 1 species
UCGAGCGUCAUUACACCACUCAAGCCUCGCUUGGUAUUGGGCGACGCGGUCCGCCGCGCGCCUCAAAUCUUCCGGCUGGGUUCGAUUGUCCCUUAGCGUUGUGGAAACUAUUCGCUGAAGGUGUACUUUUGGGCAACGCCGUUAAACAAACCCAUUCAAAGGUUGACCUCGGAUCAGGUAGGGAUACCCGCUGAACUUAA